GAGAGGUAUAGGACAUUCGUCAGUGUCACGUACAAGGGAAUUAACAACACAUCCAAUUGGACCUUCGAUAUUCCCGGGGUCAUUCGAUCAUACAACGGAAUUAACAACAAAUCUGAUUGGACAUUCAGAAUUUCCCGGGUCAUCAAAUCCGAAUGCUUGUUUUCAAAAUAUAGCUCCAUCAUUGGCGACAUCCCUGUCAUUUGGUGAUUAUUCUGCUUUCUAUGCUCCACCACGUAUUCCAGGGGAAUUUACAAGUUUGUUGCUUCAAGCUGAUAAACAAAACCCAACACUGUCUACCGUUCGGCGAUUGGAUUUCAACGAAGGUACAAGUACAAGCAGGUUUCAGUGGUGACAUCUGUUCUAGUCAUCACAUAAACCACAAGAACAGGAGGCAACUGCAUUAGCAACGAGCUCAUGUGUCCUUUUCAUUUUUAUUGUCUGGGUUUUCCUUACGGACCUGUAAACAAAUAUAUUAAUUUUAGUGGU